AUUUAAGUAGUUUAAUUAAAAUUCUGAUUUGUGGUGUCAGGGAUACGAAUUGUUUUGUCUUAGAUC
rnacentral:tRNA from 1 species